rnacentral:rRNA from 1 species
UACGUAGGGGGCAAGCGUUGUCCGGAAUUAUUGGGCGUAAAGAGCUCGUAGGCGGUUUGUUGCGUCGGCCGUGAAAACCUGCAGCUUAACUGUGGGCCUGCGGCCGAUACGGGCAGACUUGAGUUCGGUAGGGGAGACUGGAAUUCCUGGUGUAGCGGUGAAAUGCGCAGAUAUCAGGAGGAACACCGGUGGCGAAGGCGGUUCUCUGGGCCUGUACUGACGCUGAGGAACGAAAGCGUGGGGAGCGAACAGG